AACGAACGCUGGCGGCAUGCCUAACACAUGCAAGUCGAACGGGGUUUUCGGACCUAGCGGCGGACGGGUGAGUAAUGCGUAGGAAGCUACCCGAUAGAGGGGAUACCAGUUGGAAACGACUGUUAAUACCGCAUAAUGUCUACGGACCAAAGUGUGGGACCUUCGGGCCACAUGCUAUCGGAUGCGCCUACGUGGGAUUAGCUAGUUGGUGAGGUAAUGGCUCACCAAGGCGACGAUCUCGUAGCUGGUUUGAGAGGGAGAUCCCCCANACUGGUACUGAGACACGGACCAGACUCCUACGGGAGGCAGCAGUGAGGAAUAUUGGACAAUGGGCGCAA
rnacentral:rRNA from 1 species